rnacentral:sRNA from 1 species
GGUUUUAUAGUUGGGCUUCAGUGUGCUACUUUCUAGAUAAAAACAAGAACCAGUGCUUUUGUUUGAAAAUUUGCAGAAAUUUUAGAGAUACUACUACAGGUAUAUAGCUGUUUAAAAAAUUUUAUUGCCAAUUAGUUAAUCAUAUAUGGAUCUUUGUAAUGAUUGUUCUCAUUUUUGUUUUAGGUGGUCUUGGAGGCAUUGGGAUGGGACUUGGUCCAGGUGGACAGCCUAUUAGUGCCAGCCAGUUGAACAUAGGUGGAGUAAUGGGAAAUUUAGGUCCAGGUGGUAUGGGAAUGGAUGGUCCAGGUUUUGGAGGAAUGAAUAGAAUUGGAGGAGGAAUAGGGUUUGGUGGUCUGGAAGCAAUGAAUAGCAUGGGAGGAUUUGGAGGAGUUGGCCGAAUGGGAGAGCUGUACCGUGGUGCGAUGACUAGUAGCAUGGAGCGAGAUUUUGGACGUGGUGAUAUUGGAAUAAAUCGAGGCUUUGGAGAUUCCUUUGGUAGACUUGGUGGUGGAAUGGGUGGCAUGAACAGUGUGACUGGAGGAAUGGGGAUGGGACUGGACCGGAUGAGUUCCAGCUUUGAUAGAAUGGGACCAGGUAUAGGAGCUAUACUGGAAAGGAGCAUCGAUAUGGAUCGAGGAUUUUUAUCGGGUCCAAUGGGAAGCGGCAUGAGAGAGAGAAU